rnacentral:rRNA from 1 species
GAGGAAUAUUGGUCAAUGGACGAGAGUCUGAACCAGCCAAGUAGCGUGAAGGAUGACUGCCCUAUGGGUUGUAAACUUCUUUUAUAUGGGAAUAAAGUGAGCCACGUGUGGCUUUUUGUAUGUACCAUACGAAUAAGGAUCGGCUAACUCCGUGCCAGCAGCCGCGGUAAUACGGAGGAUCCGAGCGUUAUCCGGAUUUAUUGGGUUUAAAGGGAGCGUAGGCGGACUAUUAAGUCAGCUGUGAAAGUUUGCGGCUCAACCGUAAAAUUGCAGUUGAUACUGGUCGUCUUGAGUGCAGUAGAGGUAGGCGGAAUUCGUGGUGUAGCGGUGAAAUGCUUAGAUAUCACGAAGAACUCCGAUUGCGAAGGCAGCUUACUGGACUGUAACUGACGCUGAUGCUCGAAAGUGUGGGUAUCAAAC